rnacentral:lncRNA from 1 species
GAGAGUCUCGGGCAGGCAGCAGGCAUCCCUGCUUGCGUCUUUUAGGAUGAGCAGGAUGAUAUUGUUUCACAUUUGCUGAGUCUAGAAGGCAGGUCUCUCCAGUGGUUUUUGGAGCAAAUGUUUUGAUGGGCCAGCGUAGACACUGCCCAAACAUACAAGCAACUUGCCCAGUCUCCAGCUGGAAGCAAAUGCUACUCAUGAUGUGCUGUGGCACUAUGGUGGGCACAGGAAACUAAGGAUAACUAACAUUCAGGCCUUCACUUCAAGGAACCAAUCUUUGCAAGAGUGAAGAGAAAUGGCCUUGAACCGUGUAGUCAUGUAACAAUUCCUGCUCUGGGACUCGGGAGAGGUGAACUUGGGUACAAUAUACCCUCAUGCCUUCUGGGUCCAGAGACCAGUUCUGAAGCAGAAACCCACUGGGUACACACUGGAAGCUGGCUGUGUGUAAAAGCUACCAGAGAGACUCCAGUGAGGGAUCAUUCAGUUGCUGAAACAUUAUUGUUAUAAAUGAUACAGCAUGGAGCUAAAUAAAUGAGCUUUUGAAACACUGGAGCGAGCGGUAUUCCAUGCAUGUGUAUAUCCACACUUGCUUAUCCACUCAUCUGUGGGUGGAUAUUUAAGUUGCUUCCUCCUCUGGGCUAUUGUGAACACGAACACUGUGAACAUCUGUGUGGGCUGAUGGCCUCAGCACCUGUUUUUAAUUCUUCAGGGGAAUGGCACCACCCACUGUUCUGGGUCUUCCUGAAUCAAUCAACAAUCAAAACAACCCC